CGUGGAUCGAUUUGUCUGGUUUAUUCCGAUAACGAGCGAGACUCUAGCCUACUAAAUAGUAACGGAAUUACUAUAGUUCCAGUUGCUUCUUAGAGGGAUUUUCGGUGUUUAGCCGCACGAGAUUGAGCAAUAACAGGUCUGUGAUGCCCUUAGAUGUCCGGGGCUGCACGCGCGCUACACUGGCGAAAUCAGCGUGCUGUAUCCUAUCUCGAAAGGGAUGGGUAAACCCAUGAAAAUUUGCCGUGCUUGGGAUCGGAAAUUGCAAUUAUUUUCCGUGAACGAGGAAUUCCAAGUAAGUGCGAGUCAUCAACUCGCUCUGAAUACGUCCCUGCCCUUUGUAC
rnacentral:rRNA from 1 species